CUGACGUGCAAAUCGUUUGUCAAAUAUGAGUAUAGGGGCGAAAGACUAAUCGAACUAUCUAGUAGCUGGUUAAAGCUGAAAUUUCUCUCAGGAUAGCAGUAGAAACAAUUAUAAUAACAUUAUAAUAAAUAGUUACAUCUGGUAAAGAUAAUGAUUAGAGGAUUUGGGAGAGAAACUUUCUCAACUUAUUGUCAAACUUUAAAUGGGUGUGAUGUUGAGAAUGUAAAACAAAGUAUCAUUCUUAACUUGAAUAUUUUUUUCUAUUUGUGGACAUUUUUUGGUAAGCAGAAUAUGUGAUGCGGGAUGAACCGAACGUUGUUUUAAAUGUGCCAAAUUGUACACUUAUUAUUAGAUACCAUAAAAAGUGUUGUUGUAUUAUGACAUUAGGACAGUGGCCAUGGAAGUCGGAAUCUGCUAAGGAGUGUGUAACAACUCACCUGACAAAUGCAAUAGCCUUGAAAAUUAAUGGCG
rnacentral:rRNA from 1 species